rnacentral:lncRNA from 1 species
CUUCUUCAAAAGCAAAAGUAUCCCAUAUCAUCUCUUCUCAUUUUUCUUCUCUUUAUCCUUUAUGCUGCCUGUAAGAUAGGGAGAAUGUGAACAAUCAGCCAGAGCUCUGAUUACUUACCUUGUCUGUCACCUCUUUCAGCAGAUCCCCUAGCUCGGCGACUUGGGGGACUCCUACUACAUGGUUUGUAUCGCGCUUGACCAAGCCUGAAACUACAAGUAAACUUCAAGUGAAACUGAUACAUUACCUUGUGCAUCUCCACCAGUUACAGAUACCACCCCUGGAUGGAGGAAGAGUACUUCCAGAGAAGAUGCCACAUCUACCUAUGAGACAGAUAAGGCAAGUCAAGACGAUACCACACUCCGGUACUUAGAAGUUUCGUGGUUACGAGAUCAUUCUCCCACAAUAUUUCCUAAUGUCAUUUGUACUAAAUCAUUCACUUGUACUCACUAAAGGAGAGCUUGAACCUAUGUACUUGUGUAAACCCUUCACAAUUAAUGAGAACUCAUCUAUUCCGUGGACGUAGCCAAUCUGGGUGAACCACGUACAUCUUGUGUUUGCUUUCCUAUCUCUAUCCAUUUAUAUACUUAUCCACACUAAUGACCGGAGCAAUCUAGCGAAGAUCACAAAAAGUGACCGUUUUCGCUACCUAGGAUCUAUCUUGCAAGAGAACGGAGACUUAGAUGAAGAUCUCAACCAUAGAAUACAAGCUGGAUGGAUGAAGUGUAAGAGUGCAUCCGGCGUGUUUGUGUGACCGUCGUAGGCCACUGAAGCUCAAGGGAAAAUUUUAUAGGACGGCAAUAAGGCCGCGAUGUUGUAUGGCACAGAAUGUUGGGCGGUGAAGCAUCAACACGUACACAAAAUGGGUGUAGCGGAGAUGAGGAUGCUUCGUGGGAGGUAUGGGCACACGAGAAAGGAUAAGAUU